rnacentral:rRNA from 1 species
GUGGGGAAUAUUGGACAAUGGGCGAAAGCCUGAUCCAGCCAUGCCGCGUGUGUGAAGAAGGUCUUCGGAUUGUAAAGCACUUUAAGUUGGGAGGAAGGGCAGUAAGUUAAUACCUUGCUGUUUUGACGUUACCGACAGAAUAAGCACCGGCUAACUUCGUGCCAGCAGCCGCGGUAAUACGAAGGGUGCAAGCGUUAAUCGGAAUUACUGGGCGUAAAGCGCGCGUAGGUGGUUUUGUAAGUUGGAGGUGAAAUCCCCGGGCUCAAACUGGGAACUGCCUCCAAAACUGCAUGACUGGAGUACGGUAGAGGGUAGUGGAAUUUCCUGUGUAGCGGUGAAAUGCGUAGAUAUAGGAAGGAACACCAGUGGCGAAGGCGACUACCUGGACUGAUACUGACACUGAGGUGCGAAAGCGUGGGGAGCAAACAGGAUUAGAUACCCCAGUAGUCC